UUCCGUAGGUGAACCUGCGGAAGGAUCAUUACCGAGUGCGGGUCCUUUGGGCCCAACCUCCCAUCCGUGUCUAUUGUACCCUGUUGCUUCGGCGGGCCCGCCGCUUGUCGGCCGCCGGGGGGGCGCCUCUGCCCCCCGGGCCCGUGCCCGCCGGAGACCCCAACACGAACACUGUCUGAAAGCGUGCAGUCUGAGUUGAUUGAAUGCAAUCAGUUAAAACUUUCAACAAUGGAUCUCUUGGUUCCGGCAUCGAUGAAGAACGCAGCGAAAUGCGAUAACUAAUGUGAAUUGCAGAAUUCAGUGAAUCAUCGAGUCUUUGAACGCACAUUGCGCCCCCUGGUAUUCCGGGGGGCAUGCCUGUCCGAGCGUCAUUGCUGCCCUCAAGCCCGGCUUGUGUGUUGGGUCGCCGUCCCCCUCUCCGGGGGGACGGGCCCGAAAGGCAGCGGCGGCACCGCGUCCGAUCCUCGAGCGUAUGGGGCUUUGUCACAUGCUCUGUAGGAUUGGCCGGCGCCUGCCGACGUUUUCCAACCAUUCUUUCCAGGUUGACCUCGGAUCAGGUAGGGAUACCCGCUGAACUUAAGCAUAUCAAUAAGCGGA
rnacentral:rRNA from 1 species